UUGGAGUUCCAGCAAUGUGGCUGGUGUUUGACUGCCCAGGGCAAGAUGAGUGUGACUGGAUACCGAGCUAUUCAUUGUUCUGCAAAUGACGCAAAAAGCUGCCAGUGUGUAGUUAAUCUCCCCCUUCUCCUUAGCCAGGCCUCAAAUUGGGAGUGAGAAGCCCAGUCUGCUCCCCUGACCUCAUGUCGUGCCCUCACCGUCUCCCUCUCUGGCAUCUGUGCCUCCAUAGAUCCAAUCCCGCACACUCCCAGAGGACGGACUCUCGUCUACUAAUGUUCUGUUUCUGAGUUCUCCCCAAAGCGAGCACAUUAAAUGCCCACAAACAGCUUGCACUUUUAGGGUGUACCGCUUUUAAGCAUUACAUCAGAAAUGUAAACAUUCCAAGGGAAAAGAAUAACUAAUUUGAAUAUAAUUUUAAAAUCACCUGUAUUUGGGGCUGGCCCUGUGGCAUAGUGGGUAAAGCUGCCGCCAGCAGUGCCGGCAUCCUAUAUGGGCACUGGUUCGUGUCCCAGCUGCUCCAAUUCCAAUCCAGCUCUCUGCUAUGGCCUGGGAAAGUAAUAGAAGAUGGCCCAAGUCCUUGGACCCCUGCACCCUCAUGGGAGACCCAGAAGAAGCUCCUGGUUCCUGGCUUCAGAUUGGCACAGCUCUGACCAUUGUAGCCAAUUGGGAAGUGAACCAGCAGAUAGAAGAUCUCUCUCUCUCUCUCUUUCUCUGCCUCUUCUUUUAUGUGUAACUCUGACUUUCUAAUUAAAUAAAUAAAUAUUUUAAGAAAAGAUUUAUUUAUUUUAUUUGAAAGGCAGAGGCAGAGAGAGAGAGAGGUCUUCCAUUAGCUGGUUGACUCCCUAAAUGGCCGCAACAGCCAGAGCUGUGCUGAUCCGAAGCCAGGAGCUUCUUUUGGAUCUCCCAAACAAGUGCUGGGGCUCAAGGACUUGGGCCAUCUUCUACUGAUUUCCCAGGCCAUAGCAGACAGCUGGAUUGGAAGUGGAACAGCUGGGAUUCAAAUUGUUGCCCAUAUGGGAUGCUGGCAGUGCAGGCAGUGGCUUUACCUGCUAUACCACAGGACCAGCCCCACAGCAAAUGUUUUGUAGUUAAUUCUCUUAAGCUGAACUAAACUUUAGAAACAAGUUAACAUUUCAUGUAAUGUUACUCACUUUUUAAAAAAAUAUUUAUUUAUUUGAGAGGUAGAGCUACAGAGACAAAGAGAGACAAAGAGAAAGGUCUUUCAUCUGCUGGUUCACUCCCCAAAUGACCACAAUGGCCGGAGAUAGGCUGAUCCAAAGCCAGGAGCCAGGAGCUUCUUCCAGAUCUCCCACAUGGGUGCAGGUGCCCAGGGACUUGAGCCAUCCUCCACUAUUUUCCCAGCUGGAUCAGAAGAGGGGCAGCCAGGACUUGAGCCAGCACCCAUAUGUUGGCCUACUGCGUGACAGCGCCGGCCUCCACUUCACCCGUUUUUCACUCCUGGUGUAAUUAUUCACUGCCAUUGGUGUAUGGUAGGUGAACCUCUGAGGGAACUACACAGAUGAACCAGUGAUGCCAGAAGGGAAAAUGUUUCACUUUACACGAGGAGACAAACACAACUGCUUUGGCUUCUAGGAGUGCGAGCAAUCAUUUCAGGAAAGACAGUUCAUUCAAGGUGACGGUGAUGGAAAUCCGCUAAGGGAUAGAAGAAAACAGAAUUCAAAAAGAACGAAUAAACAGCAAACUCCUCAUCUUGCAAGGGCUGCAUUAGGUGCGCAUCAUUCUUAGGCUCGAGUGACGUAUUUCUGCAGCCACAAGAAGACGAACCUUCUCAACCGAGUAUACUCAUCUGACAAUGUACAGGAAUAAAUUGAUGUUUGUG